CCUACGGGAGGCAGCAGUGAGGAAUAUUGGACAAUGGGCGCAAGCCUGAUCCAGCCAUGCCGCGUGCAGGAAGAAGCAUCUAUGGUGUGUAAACUGCUUUUGUACAGGAAGAAACACUCCCUCGUGAGGGAGCUUGACGGUACUGUAAGAAUAAGGACCGGCUAACUCCGUGCCAGCAGCCGCGGUAAUACGGAGGGUCCGAGCGUUAUCCGGAAUCAUUGGGUUUAAAGGGUCCGUAGGCGGUUUAAUAAGUCAGUGGUGAAAUCUGGUCGCUCAACGAUCAAACGGCCAUUGAUACUGUUAGACUUGAAUUAUAAGGAAGUAACUAGAAUAUGUAGUGUAGCGGUGAAAUGCUUAGAUAUUACAUGGAAUACCAAUUGCGAAGGCAGGUUACUACUUAUGGAUUGACGCUGAUGGACGAAAGCGUGGGGAGCGAACAGGAUUAGAUACCCUGGUAGUCCACGCCGUAAACGAUGGAUACUAGCUGUUCGGAGCAAUCUGAGUGGCUAAGCGAAAGUGAUAAGUAUCCCACCUGGGGAGUACGUUCGCAAGAAUGAAACUUAAAUGAAAUUGAGGCUGAGAGNGACGAGACGACGACGAGGGAGGAGG
rnacentral:rRNA from 1 species